rnacentral:lncRNA from 1 species
ACAUGUAUCGCGCAGGUAUAUGCUAGUAGAAAAUAAAUACAAACACAUUUGAGGGUCUCAAGCGAUAGAAAAUAAAUCACUAACAAAAUGAAAAAACUGCAAUCUAACACUGAAAAACUACAAAAGAAUGCUUCACACCGACAAAAACCUGCCCCCCCAAAAAAAGAAAAGACAAUUGAUUGAAAUUUCACAUAUGGUCAAGCAUCAUUUGAAUAAAUUCGAUAUCAAAUUGUUGUAUGUUGUAUAUGCUAGAGAGCAGUAUAGCACACAAACACAUCUUGGAUCUCUUCUUCAUUCUCCAAGGAAUUUACAGACCAUCAGAACCAAAAUCAGGCUAACUUUUAUCGUCAAUUGAUUGUAUGAAUCGAUAUCAAGCUGACUUUCAUCAGGAGGAAGAACCAUUCACCAUAUUUUUAUCCGCCAUCACAGCUCAUGGCAAUUCUUUUUUCUGAUAUAUUCAUUCGUUUAAGAUAAAGUAAGCUUCUGGAUGGGCAGGUAAGCAAUUCAUUGUCCGAAGGCUUUGAUCAGCUUGGCAAUCUUAAGUUCUUGACUUGCCAUUUUACUAAGACAGUUCCCCUGACAAUUUCAUUAACAUCUCAGCACACCAAGAGAGUCGCAUGUGUAGCUAGAUCCUAUGGAAAAUAGUUGGUGACUUAGUUAUAUCUACCAUUAAAUGUGAACAAAGAACUAAUCAAUAUGCCCUUAGUUUGAAAAAAAAAUCAAAAGAAAAAUCAAAACAAAUACAUUUAAAUCCAUGGUCUGCAGCUAGAUUAAAAGAAAACUGGUUAACUGUAUGUCUGAGGGGUUUUUUUCUUUUUUUUAACGUGGGGGAUGAGCAUUCUGUUAUCCCUAUUCUAUAUUGAAAACUCGGUGUUAAUUUAUAGUUUGGCUUUUCAUCCGUGGUAUCACAACCGAGAUCAUCAAUCCACAUAAUUAAUAUGCUAGAGACUGGUAUUGAAAGCAUUCAUAACAAAUUUCUGUAAGGUGUUAAAGAAAGAUCAAAUAAGAUCAGGGGACAGAGAUUGUCAAAAAGGAUCCAACUAGCGAUAAAAAAAAAAGGGAAUAUUAUUCCCAUUGUCAAAUCCUUGAACAUUGUCAAAUGUCGACCUUUGAAUCCUCAGCCCCUCAUACAGUUGGCAUUUUUUUUAUCUUCAUAUGGUCGAACUUCUGCCUCUCCUUUCCUAAUUAAGAGAAUGAGCAAUAAUGCUUUAACAUAUCUAAUAUAAUAUUUUAAAGGGAACCUAACAAUACAAUAGCAAUAGAAGCGCCACUUCACAUUUGUAUUGAAUCUUUUAGAAGAUGAAAGCAUUGAUAUUCUUUUCCUAUCUCAUUCUUUAGUGGUCUAACUGCACUAUUCUCAUCUUCGACUUAAUUAUUGACCACAUUUUACCAUAUCUUAUAUGCAUGAUUACUUCAUUUUGGUGCAAAUCUUUUGUGAAAAUCAUACACCAAGAAUUAAACACCAUGUAGACACAAUUUGAUAUGCCUCAAUCUUGAGGAUGUAUAUGCUAAAAACCACAUAAAACACCAGAAACCAAAAGAAUGUGACAAUUCUCUUUAUAGGUUCCUUAAUCUGCCUCUAGAGUUGUUUCUAGCUUCCUGGAUUCCAAAUGUUUCUUAUUUAUAUACUCGCCAUAUUUGAUAAGUGUAAGGAAAAUAUCUAUAAGGAAAAUAUCGAUCACUAACCACCAAGUAAGCAAGGUAGCUCUAAGUUCCUUCAUAUGUUUCUACAAUUCUGUCAUAUGCAUACAUAAGAUAUGCAUCAAAGUUCUAUAAGUUUCAUUAGAAUCCUUGCCACCUCACAAAAGCUACAGUAUGCUAGAAAAAUCUAGAUUUUUGGAUUCUCUAUUUAAAAUCUCUAUCAUUUCUUUUCUCUUCCUUGGACUCCUCAUAUGGACAUUAUUUACAUAAAUAACUUAAUUGUCAUUGAGCUUCAUGCAUCUUGAAAAACAAGUUGAUCUGUUACUUCAUGACAAAUUAUAGUGAACAAACAGCUAAGCGUCUCCCAUGUAUGAAAAUCAAUUGGGUCUCUAGACCUGGGUUUCUAUUUGGAGAUGCAAUACAUGUUCUGAAUUUAACAUGUUUUCUUUGUGAUUUAGAGGAUUAUUUUGACCCACUAUGGAUCAAUUUGGCCACUUUGGAUAGGUCUGAAUAGUUUUCAGGUGUAAAAGUCGCCAUAGCCACUACUCAACUGAGUAUUGAAAUUUCAGAAAGCCAUGACUUCUAAUCCGAGAAAAAUUUAACGAUGUGAUUGAAGACAGGAUGUCUAAACACGCAUCAGGAGCAAAAGUCACCAGGAG